UAUCGACUGCCAUCAAGCCACGCUACCUAAGCAUUCUGUGCGAAGCUGUCGAAGUGAAAACACGAACAUGUUGAACAUUAAAGGUGGUGUGUUCCUGAUGGUAAUGCUUGCAACAGCCACUUCGUUCAUGUUGAACAACAGAGCGGAACAGCAAGAGAACCGUUUGAUUAUAUAUUGCCUGGGAGAAUUGCAAAUUUGUAGUGAUACCAGCUUAAAAUGUUGCGAGGGAUAUACAUGCAAAACCAUCAUUGAGGGUUUGGCCUGGUGUAACGAUUAAAAGUGGCAGACACAUUCGGU